CCUACGGGGGGCUGCAGUGGGGAAUAUUGGUCAAUGGGCGCGAGCCUGAACCAGCCAAGUAGCGUGAAGGAUGACUGCCCUAGGGUUUGUAACCUUCUUUUAUAAAGGAAUAAAGUGAGGCACGUGUGCCUUUUUGUAUGUACUUUAUGUAUAAGGCUCGGCUAACUCCGUGCCAGCAGCCGCGGUAAUACUGAGGAUCCGAGCGUUAUCCGGAUUUAUUGGGUUUAAAGGGAGCGUAGAUGGGUUGUUAAGUCAGUUGUGAAAGUUUGGGGCUCAACCGUAAAAGUGCAAUUGAUACUGGCAGUCUUGAGUACAGUUGAGGUAGGCGGAAUUCGUGGUGUAGCGGUGAAAUGCUUAGAUAUAACGAAGAACACCGAUUGCGAAGGCAGCUUACUAAACUGCCACUGACAUUGAUGCUCGAAAGUGUGGGUAUCAAACAGGAUUAGAUACCCCUGUAGUC
rnacentral:rRNA from 1 species